GAAGUGGUAUCUUGUAACGAUUAGUACUAAAAAUACUCUAUUAUUUAAGUGGAAACAAAUAUAAUAGGUUUUAGCGGUUAGCGGGAGCAAUAUCAGACAAUGUGUAGUCGGAUUGGAGUUUGCUGAGUACCAGCUUCAAUAUUAAGUCCGUGUUCAAAGUGGUAUCUUUUAACGAUUAGUAUUUGAAAUACCCUAUUAUCGAGGUUGACAAAAAUAUUCAAGUGUUUAUAUAGCGGGAGAAAUUUUAUAACAACUUGUAGCCUCGACAGUAUCUUCCACUCUGCAAUCUCCAAGUGUACCAACCUCUUAGGUUUUUUCUUUUUAGUUUUAGUUUUCUGCUUUCUAUUUCCAAAUUUUAUUAUCUCCAGUUAUGAAAAAUAUUCUUAUGAGGAUCAGCACAUUAUUAUACAGUGAUAGCAAUUACUUUGCGAGAGUAAUUAUCGCAUUUUACCUUGAACAUGUUAAUUGGUGCUCUCUCUCUCUCUCGAUGACUCUCAUGUAUCCCUUUUGGUUUGGUGUUAUAUCGUAGUAUAAUGCAUUUUAUUUUAUAUGUUGAAACAGGCCAAGAAGGAAAUUUCUAUCUCCAGCGUCUUGCUGGUCAGAUGGCCAGUGAAAAUGACAUAAGCCUUACCUCCUACCAAAUCACAGAGGGAGAAUUGCCUCUGAAAUGGCCGCCUUAGGGUGCCAUUUUGCCCUGGGACCGCCUGAGAAAAAAAUGGAGCAAUACAAAAAUAUGGUACAAAGCUAUAGUAGAUUCCAACAAGAAAACAGGCCAGAGAAGAUCACGAUGGAACUACUAUUCCAGAAUCUUGGAGGAAGACCCUUCAGUCAUCCCACCAGUGACAAUAUCAUCACUGGGGGGUGUGAAAGUAAACAUUCUCUCCGAGAUCUCCAACAUCCUGCAAGGUGCCACCCCAACAAAGGAACCCUAUCAAGAACAGCAAGGAAUAUCUCAGGAGACUCCUGUGUGCAGGAAACGGAGGAGAUCCAACAACGAAUUAUCAGAUGAACUUCAGAGUUAUUUUGAAAGGAGCCUGGCAAUUCAGGCAGAGAUGCUGGUGGAGGAGAGAAAAAGAACAGAAUUGUUAGUUGAGAACCUAAGGAAGAGUUAGAGAAAAUUUUUCUUUGAGAUUUUUCCAUGUUCUUAGUUUUUCUCUUUUGAUUUUAAAAGAUUGUGAUCCCUUUUCACUUUUCAAACUAUUCAGUAUACAAUUCAGCCAAUUCAAUUCUGUAUGGUUCUGAGGUGUGGGGUCUGUGUACUGGCAAUAUUAUUGAGAGAGUCCAUUUAUUUGCAGUGAAAUGUUUUUUGAAUGUGACAGCAAGAAUUCCAAAUAGAAUGAUUUACCAUAAAUGUGUAUCCAUUGUAAAUCCUUAUGUGAGAUGCAUUGCAUACUGGCUGAAAGUUGUAAAUUCCACCCACCCCCUUCCCAUUACAUUACCAAAAUAAUUGUUAACUAUGUUGUCAAAUAUGUACAGUAAUCACAAGACCACUUGGGUUAAUAUUGUGUUAGCACUUGAUCAACAUGGGUUUAAAUGUGUUUGGGGUGGGCAAGUUGAGCAGUUCUUAAGAGAAUUCAAGCUGAGACUUAUAAACUGUUUUGGAGCAAAACUGGUACAUGUAUAACAAAAUAUCGAAUUUCAUUCUAUAGCUCCUUUAAGUCUUCUUUUGUGCUAAGUACUGACUUAAUUGACAUUAAACAUAUGGCUAUUAGAAACUCACUAAUAAGGUUGAGGCUAGGAGUUACAUAAACUGCCAUAAGCAGCAUUACAGCAAUUUGUCCACAGCCUUGUUAAAAUGCUCCCAAUUGCAAUUAUGAAGAAACUAAGUUACAUUUUGUGUUCCAGUGCCCAAAAUACAAAGAUCUAUGACAGCUGUACAUUCCUCAUAAAUUCUUAAGUAUCCUUCUUAGUUUUGUUUAUCCAUGAUAUUUGCAAGUAAUUGUCUAAGCUUAAUUCAAAAUGCUGCCUACUUUCUUUAUAAAGCAUGACAUAUUAGGGAGAACAAAUCUGCAAAAGUAAUGAUAUUUUGAAGAAAAUUACAACAUACAUGAACUUGUUGUUAAGUAAGGGCACUAUUUUGUACUUUUAUUUGAUUCCGCCCACUAACCCUAACCCACUAUCCCUGUCACCAGAACAGCCACAUAUGGUAACUGGAUUUUUAUUAUUUACUUCUCCUUACAUAUUCGCCAUCUAAUGACCAUCAAAUCCUUAAAAUAUGCACUAAAAACACAUUUGCUCCACGAGCAUUAUUUCUUACACAUAUCAACAUAGUUAUCAUUAGCUAUGAGUAUAGUCAAUUGACUAGUCCGUCUGUUCAUCUUCCUCUGCAUAUUUAUGACACUCUCCGUCCUUACUGUCUUUUCCCUUAUUCCUCUUUUGUUUCUUCUAUGUCUUUUAUUACUUGUCUGCAUAGUCUUUUUUCUUUUCAUUCUUAUUCUGACCAUGUCUCCUACUUGUUUUAGGCGCUGAAAGUAUGCUUCAUGCGCUAAUAAAUCAUGUUGUGUUGUUGUUGUUGUUGUUGUUGUUGUUGUUGUUGUUGUUGUUGUUGUUGUUUGGUUAUGUUAC